UUAGUGCGGGCCAGCCGUGUCAUCGCCAGCUCCAAGCCAGGAAGCAAACAAUUCGCUCAACAAACAGAACAUCUAAGGAGGAAUAAAAAGAAAACAGCCACUGUCCCCUCACACCUCCAGAGCAUCCUGCAGCCCAGGACCGGGAAAUGUGACCCAGCAGGAGCCACACUGAGACCAGGACUGAAGUGGAGAAUAGAAUGUGUCAGCAAAAAGACCACCGAGAGCUUCCUCUGGACUGUCCUAACAACAUCCUGUGUACCACCACAUUUAAUUUUCAUAACCACUUUACAAGACACGUGAUGAUUCUCAUCGUAGGGGAGGAAACCAGGACUCGAAGAAAUUCAAUAACUCACUACCAUCAUGGAUUUGCACCCAAAUCUUUCUGACUUCAGAACCCACGCCCAAGUCCCUUUCUGGUGGGUGCUUCUAAAGAGUAAGAAACACAGGCCCAGACAGUAAGAAAUACUGCUUCUCGGAGAGCUGCCCGAACUCACCAAGGAAGAGAGAGUCAAAAAUAACUGGCUUCAGCAGUUCAGAGGAUGGAGGCGUCGGAGCAAAGCCCAAGAUGGUUAGAGGCAAGGGGGGAGCAAAUGAAAAGCGGCCCCUCUCCUGUACAGUCGCAGUAAUUUGAACGGCUUGCAGUGGAUUCCAUGGAGAACCCCGUGGCAUUUAGCCAUCUUGUCUCCUCGGUUGCUGGUCUGAGAGUUUCUCAACCUUUCCUUGUUUUUCAUCUCCUUGGCAGUUUUAAAGGGUACUGGUCAGGCCUUUUGUAUCAUGUCCCUCAGUUUGAUAUUUUCUGAUGUUUUCCUCAUAUUUAGACUGGGGUUAUGGGUUCUGGGAAAGACUACCACCGAGCUGAAUUGCCCUGCUCAUCCCAUCCUAUCAGGGGGCACAUUAUAUCCAUGUGACCUAUCACUGGUGAGGUUGACCUUCAUCACUUGGUGAAGGCAGGUGGUGUUUGUCAAGUUUCUCUUUUGUAAAGUCACUCUUUUUUUUUUCCCCUUUCCAUAUUCUGUUCUUUGGAAGCCCGGGGCUUAGUUCAGCAGAGACCGGGGGUGGGAGCUGGGAGGAAUUAAGCUCCAUCUCUAGGAGGGAAAAACAUCUACCUAUAUUCUUUGCCUUAUACUUUUUAAGAAAUAAUUUUAGAUGGAACUUUCUCAAUUUUAUUAUAAAAUCCUCUGCCUUCUUAAACAGAUUACUUUGAGCAUCAUUUGACAUUUUCAUGAUGACUUCCCACCGUAAGCAAACUUUAGCCCUCCAAAUUUUGUGAACCUUUCCCAGUUCUUCACUCUCCUUGAAUCUCUGUAGAAGCUGACACCGUGGUCUACUCUCUCUUAUGUAACGCCUCCCCCCAUCGCCCUACCAUCCUUCUCUUCUGCUUUCUCUUCCUCCUUAACUCAUCACCACUCCAUUUCCAUCUCCAUUUCAGUCUCAAUCUCUGUUCUUUCCUCCCUCCCUCCCUCCUUCCUCCCCACCAUAUGUACUGCCCCGGCUCCAAUGGACCUCACCUCUCCUUUCUGCCCAGUGUUCCCCUUAUCAGUCCCAUAUGCUUUACAUGGCUCAAUGAUGAUCAUCGUUCAGAUAACUCUAGGUCCGUAUCUCUUCUCAUCCGCCCAUCUCUAUGGCAACGAUGCCUCCCUCUCAACUCUCCCCGCUAACUCCUCAGCCCUUUUCUGCACUAUCUCAACCUCAUCCUCUCGAUUAGUGAGGACACUGCCUCAGCAGCUGCCUUAACAUAACAUAAGCGAACACAACAGUGGCCUAAAUAAUCCACAAAGUUUAUUUCUCUCUUAUGCAAAUAUCUGAGCUGGUAGAGGUCCUGGGGGCUGGGCUGGGGUCAAGUCUUUUAGAGUUCCCUGAUGUCCCCAUGCUACUGCCUGGGAUGUGGCCCUUGCCCGCUUGGUAGAAGUUGCCUCUGUACACGUUCCUUAAAGACCUUUGGGAACCAUAACAAAUAGAAAACAUGUAGCUUUUAUUAAGGGACUGACCUCAAGGUGGCGGACAUUGCUCUGCUCACAUCCCAUUGGUCAGAACACGACCAUAUGGCAGCACCCAGGUCCAAGGAAACCCAGGAAAUGGUCUCCAACUGGGUGGCUAUCCAUGCAAUAAAAGGGAAAGUGAACCUUAGGAUAAUUGAUUAUCCUUUUGCCCUAUCUCCUGAUUCUUAUAACUCUGACCUGACCUAGCUCUCCUCUUAUCUUCUUAAUAUGUUAUUAUAUCGUUAAUAUUUAUAAAGGCUCAUCACAGUAACCAUGAUUAGAAACGUGGAUAUCUUUGAUAUUUCUCCGUAUUUCACCUUUACAACUUCCCUCAUGUUUAAGACUUCUUCUCCCUUCUUACUGACACUACACAGAUUCAAACGUUCCCUACCUCCCAUCUGAAGUCUUAUAAAAAUUUCAAAAUUUCUCUCCAGGCUUUCAAUUCCUCAUUCCUCCAAACCAUGUUCAGUAUGGCUGCUGAUUAAUCUUAGUCCACAGAGCUCAACUCCUCAGCCCUUUUCGUAAAUCCUCAGUGACUUCCUAUUGCCAACUCAAUAAAGUCCAAAUUCCUGACUCUGGCACCAAGGCUUCCACAAUCUAUCCCAGUCUCUGCCUCCACUCUCCCCAGCUUGUUCUGCACAUGUCUUCCCCUUCCUCGGCAAAUUCUGCCCCAGCUCCCAUUUCUGUUCCUUCAUCAUAAUAAAAGGAUAACAGUUAA